GUCUAGAGUAAAUAUAUCACAGUUUAAAAUACCCAACAGGACAGGUUGCAAGGGGAUGGCACUUGAAUCCUAAUCAGCUUCUGGCCUGUUUUCCUACCUCUAGUUACAGGAAUAACCUCCCCUCUCUUAGUAUUUAUAACCCCGAUUCUGCUGGGGAAUUGUUUGUUCUAUACAUCAAACGGGAUUUGAGAUGAUUUUCCCUUUAUUCAAAAGAAAUUGAACCUGAUUUUAGCUUCUUCUUUUCACCCAAAGAGCAUCCAGUGGGAAUUGACAAAAGUCAAUUCAAUGCUUUAGUUUCAGUUACAUUUGUUCUUUCAAGAAAGGUAAAGUGUGUCAGGAGAACUACCUCUGCUUCUAGAGCAACCUUCCUAUCCUCACAGUGCUAAUGAUACCUCCCAGUAGCCCCAGCAGAGCUAACAUCUUCUUGUUCAGAUUGCACGAUCUCAGCAUGUCUCAAGUUUCAUGAAAAAUAAUUCUCAGGGUCUUCCCUCAAAAGUGAAUGUCUUUCUAAUAUCUUCAGGAAGGACAUCCAAGGGCAUGGGAUGGUUUUGCUUGGUUCCAUUAACUGAUACAGAGUAAAAUUUUCUUCUUUCCAGGACUGCAGUCGUUGCUCUUCAUCCAGUACGCAAACACAGAAGAAAAAAAGAAAAAAGAAUGUAAUUUUUCUCUGCUGUUCCCUUGUUACCAGCACAAUAUGAAAAAAAUAUUCAAAAGCUCUGGUCUUUGCCACGAUUUCUCUCCUCCUUACUCAUUUCAGAGUACAGACACCAGCUCAGAUCGGUCACCCUAUGCACUCCUCACAGUCACUGGACUAAAGCAGCCUCUUGUAGGACACUGUUCAUCUCAUCCAGAGGGAUAAAAUCCUGCAAGUGCCUACUUCUUACUGCAGUCAACAAGAGGAGACUACAGUGAACUGACUUGAUCAGGUUAGAUGUUUGGAAGAAUUUCUUCUCAGAAAGAGUGGUGAGGCACUGGCACAGGCUGCCUAGGGAUGUGGUGGAGUCACUGUCCCUGGAGGUGUUCAAGAACUGUUGAGAUAUGGCGCUGAAAGACGUGGUUGGAGGGCAUGGAGGGGAUGGAUUGGCGGUUGGACUUGAUGAUCUUAGAGGUCUUUUCCAACCUUAAUGAUUCUAUGAUUUUAUGAUUCUAUGACUUCAGAGGCCCUGGAGCUCUCUCAAAGGUUACUGAAGAAGCCCUUGACACCAGCGGCCUGACCUGGCCCUUUGCUGAGAGGUAUUGCACUGGGAAGAAGUAGCAGAAGCAAAAACGUGCUUUGAGCUCAGUUGCUGCACUUCGAGCUUGAUAUAUCACCCAGUAUCAUCAGUGAGAACUGAUGCCCUGUACCUGAGAUAUGAGCGCCUACUUCUCUUCUUCACAGGAAUACUCUGGCAUACAGCCUGUUGACUAGCCUGUGCUUCUUUCUGAAGACA
rnacentral:lncRNA from 1 species